GGAUGCCUGUGUGCCAGGAAGAAGUGUGCCAAGUGCUUUAUAUCCUGCGUAGUCAGGGUUCUUCAGAGAAAUGUGUGCGUAUAGAAUCUCUCUCUCUCUCUCUCUAUAUAUAUAUAUGUGUGUGUGUGUGUGUGUGUGUGUGUAUUAUAUAUGUGUAUGUAUAUAUAAGCUAUGUGUGUAUAUAUGUUAGAGAGAGAGAGAGAUACAGAGAAAAGUGUUUAAGGAAUCGGCACCUAAGUUAUUGGUAAAUCUGAAAUCUGUCGAGCGGGCUGGCAGGCUAAAAAUUAAGGAUCAUGGAGGAAUAAUGAAGUUGAGGUAUCUAAACUACCUAGCAGCAUUUGUGGCACAAAGAGACAUCUUGCAGACCAGUUUGAAGGCUUUCGAGAUGCAUGGUCAGAAAGAAAAGAAAUGAGAAGACACACAAGAGGAGCGUAGAGAUGAUUUGGGAAGCAAGAGGAGAAUUUCAGAGGCUGAAGAGAUGGGAGUGGGAUCAGUUGUAACGUGAAAGGAGUGGAAUAAAGGAAAUUGUGAAGAGAUUAAAAAGAGCUGCUCCAAAUGAAUUCUCGUCUCUUGCCUGAGGAGUGUGUCUCAAUGUACUCAGAGAAUUUGUACCUAUGGCUGAAUUGCUGUCAUCAAACUGAAGGAACCCCACAGUGGAAAAGAGUUUCUGGAAAAUUGGAUACAAGCAAAUGUCAUUUGGAAUUAUUAAAAAAGGAAGAAUUUAUGUUUGUGAACUACAGAGCACUGAGCUUGACAUUGAUCUGGGCAAGAUUCUUGAAUGAUUUUUUUUUUUAAACAAUGGCUUGUGAGUACUUAGAAAAGAAAAUGGUAAACUCAACGUGAGCUCACUAGAAUAGUCCUGUCAGAUUAGCUUCAUUUCCUACUGACAGAGUUACUGCACUGGGAGAUCAGAGAAAUAGAGUAGAAAUAGUGUAUCUAGAUUUCAGAAAACCUUUUGACAAGUUCUCUCAUGACACUCUUGAGGGCAAGAUGGGGAAAAGCAGCCUAAAUGAUGUUAUAAUUGCAGACUUAUAGCCAAUGGAAUAUUAGUAUACAAAAGAAUUAAUGAGUCAUUAUGAUUCAAUGAAACAUUUCAAUUCAAUUAACAUAUUUUUAUCUCUUAUGUUAGCCACUGUGCUGAAGUCUAGGGAUUUAUUUGUACAGAUAUAGAAUGAAGGAAUCCAGACUUGCCAACAGCAGCCUUCAAAUGAUCCAUUUGUGUGAUUUUGCUUUCAAAAACCUCAAUGUAAGCCUGAGAUAAUGUCAGACAAGUACAGUGUCUAAAAUUAAUUCAAGCAGUGCUUCUGUUCUUCUCUAUAUAGCGUGUGUUCACUUUUGGACUCCAUACAUUGAGAGACUCAUGGACUGGUACCUGUCCAUGUCCUGUUAGGAACCAGGAUGCACAGUAGGAGGUGAGUGGUAGGCAAGGGAGCAUUACCAACUGAGCUCCACCUCCUGUCAGAUCAGCAGUGGCAUAGAUCCUCACAGAAACGCAAACCCUAUUGUGUAACUGCCCAUGCAAGGAAUCUAGGUUUCAUGCUCCAUAUGAGAAUCUAUGCCUAAUGAUCUGAGAUAGAACAGUUUCAUCCUGAAACCAUCCCCACCCCCCCACCACUGUUCAUGGAAAAAUUGUCCUCCAUGAAACCAGUAUUUAGUGCCAAAAAGGUUAGGGACCACUGCUCUAGAUAGUAUCCCAAAAAGACUGAUCAAGAGGAUGACGAGAUAUCAAUAAAAUCAUAUGGAGAAGACAGAAUGAAGCAUUGAAAAGAGAGAACCCAUGACUACAUUAACAACCUCCAAGAAGGAGAUAUGGGACAGAGCAGGAGUUCCAGAUGGGCUACCUUGAAAGGUAGUGGGUUUCCUGUAAACAGAGAUUCUGAAAUGUGGACUGAAACACAAAUAUAAAGUGAGCGGAGAACCCAUGACUCAUAACCUUAAAACUGUACAGAGACAAAUAUGAAACUUAAAACUGUAAAGAGACUAAUAUGAAGGGUCCAGUUUACUGGAGAAAGUAGGACACCUUCGCAAAAGAGAUGCUGCCUACUGUUGAAUGAUGAGUUAUUUAGGCAUUCCAGGGAGAGGAGGGAAUUUCAGAUAAAGGAAACUGUGCCUCAAACUCACAGAACCAAGAAAAGAGUAAGCAAAUCCAAAAAAUUGCAAAUGAUUGUAUAUAGCUUUAAGAAAUAGGUAAACCGGGACUAUGAGAAGAUGAAAACAACAAAUUGACAAAGAUUAGACUAUGAAAGCCUUUAUUCCAGAAAGGGCCACUUAAACAUUUUAAUUAUGGGAAUAAUAUUAUUUAUAUGCAUGCUAGAGAAAUAAAUCCGGUGGGAGGGAAAGAAGAGGGCUGGGAGCAAGUUAGCAAAUAUUGAAAAAGCCCAAGAGACAAUAGGAGCUUAAAAUAAAUCAGGAUGAGAAGAACAGAUUAAGAAUAUUAUUAAUAUUGUUGUAUGUACAUGAAUGUAUUUUUAAUGAUGAGAGAUGUUUGGAAGCUCUAAUGUACAGAACUUAGACCCACUAGCUAAGUAAUGAUAUUUCAUGGAAUGAUUUGUAACAUGACAUAUCUAAAUUAUUAGAAUAGUAGAUUAGAUUAUAAAUAAUAUUUUAGUAAGAUAAAAAUAUAGCAUAAUGUUUAUGAAAAUUUUGAAACAAUCUCAUAUUGCUACUGUAUAAUGAACACUUUUGGAUUUCGAUUUUUAAGAUACCAAUUUAAUUUUCAAAGAAUUCUUUAUAAAACAAUUCACAGUAAUCUUAUAUAGUUCAUUCUUAUACAUAAAAAUAUGUAUAUACUCAUAAAAAAUGACUAUCAAGUGUUAAUUCUAAUGGAGAACUAUAAUUUAAAAGAUCAUUUAAUUAGUUCAGCUCUAAUUGUUUAGCAAUGUUUCCUUUUCUUCCAUUUGCCUUUACUCCCAGGAAGAAAAGAGCAUGGAGUAAGAAGACAGUGAAUUCUACUCUAACUCCAUAGGAAUGAGAAUGAAAAUUGAUUGCUCUAUCAUCUCCCAGAGAUAUCUCAAAAGAGUGCUCCAAAAUAUUUUGUGCUAAGACACAGAUGUUCUCACAUUCACAAAGCAAAGUAGUGCUCUAGGAUUGAUUAAUUUGGUCAAUUCGGCCUAUUUAGUUUUCAAAAGAAACCUGUUGUUGUUGUUGUUAAUGGUGUUUCUUUGCAUUGCGUAACUCUAAUUAGUUAUUUGCUUGAUUUUUACCUUUGAGCCAUUUAAAUUUGUUCUGGAUAAACAUAGUAUAAGUAACAUUUGUUAAAAAUAGAAGCUGUUUCUUUUUUUUGCCUUUUUCUUUCUUGCUUUCGUUUUACAGUUUAGAGACAAAACAAUGGGAGAUCUUAACAGAUGACUUAAUUAUCAAGAGGUAUCAAUUAUGUAAAUGAGUCUGAUGGUAAAUAGAGCAUCAUUUUCUUACAAAGUUGUUACUUCCUCUGGGACAAGGGUUCUCAAACUUGAGCAUGUAUCAGAAUCACCCCGAGGACUUGUUAUAAAACAGAUGGAAGACUCAUCCCUAGAGUUUUCGAUUUAGUAGGUCUGGGAUGGGGCCCGAGAAUUUGCAUUUUUUAAAGUUCCCAUGUGGUGAUGAUGCUGAGAUUCAGGAACCAUAUUUUUCAGAAAACUUCCCUAUCCCUGAAACUGGGUUCAACGAUCUUCUUAUGAGCCUCCUUUCCUCUCUCUGCUUACGCCUUUCUAGGAGUAUCACUCUGAAGUAUGAUGGCUGACUGACACGUCUAGCUCCUUUAUCAGAUCAUGAGCUCCCUGAAACAAGCAUCUGAUUUACAUGUCUGUAGAACAUGUCUGAUUUACAACCUAUAUCCCCCAGAGCACAGCAUAGGGCUGGUAGAGGGUAGUAGAUGGCUAAUAAUUAUAUGCUGAAUAAUACUUGAUUAAUAAAUAAAUGCAAAUUUAAGUUCUGAGGAAGAAAACAGAGAGAGAGAGAGAGAGAGUGUGUGUGUGUGUGUGUGUGGGUGUACAUACAGUCAUACACUGCUUAACAAUGGCAAUACUUUCUGAAAAAUGCAUUAUUAGGUGAUUUUGUUGUCCUGCAAAUAUCAUAGAGUAUACCUACACAAGCCUAGAUGGUACAUACCCUACUACACACCUAGGUUAUAUGGUAUGGCCUAUUGCUCCUAAGUUACAAACCUCUUACUGUACUGAAUACUGCAAGCAAUUGUAACACAAUGGUAAAUAUUUAUGUAUCUGAACAUAUCUAAACAUAGAAAAGGUAUAGUAAAAAUAUGGCAUUAUAAUCUUAUCAGAUUACUGUCAUAUAUGCAGUUCAUCGUUCAUGGAAAGGUUGUUAGGCAGUGCAUGACUACAUAUAUGUGUGUGUAUGUGUAUGCAUGUGUAUAUGUAUAUUUGUGAUUUAAAAUAUUCAAAGCAGUGAUAAGAGAAAUACUGUGUAUUCCAGGAAAAAAAAACCAUCAAAGAAACAAAGAGAAGUCUAAUCAGAGAAAGACUUAAAAAUUAGAACUUAAAAGUUUGCUUUAGUUACUAUAGUAUAUGAUGGAAAUAAAAUAUUUUAGAAAGAUAACAGUAAUAAAAAUGUACAAAUGGUUUCAACUUUGUCACUUAUGCUCUUUGGCCUACAAAUGCCUUUUCAUACUUCAUCUUGUGUAGCUGGUAAAACUAAGAAUCACCCCAAUUUACCUACAGUGUAGCCAAAGGCACACCAAAGAUCAGAAAGAUCACCCACAACCUAAACAGAAAAAGAGAAUUAUAAGAAGAAAAAAAUGGAAAAGACCUAGUAGGUCAUUCAGUUCUGGUCUCUACAGUAGUGGAAGAUUAAUAAAAUAGCACAGAAAAAAAUAUGGAAAUAUACCCAAGAAAACUUAAGACUCUCUGAUUCUCUAAUUUUUAGUGCCUCAUGAAGUUCAAGAGUUUAUUGUCAACUCAUUGCUUAAACCACCAUUUAUUAAAAGAAAACAUUCCCUAUAGUCUGCAUUGAAAAUGAAAAUAAGGCAGGCAAUGUAAAAAGUUGAUUUUGUGGUAUAAAAUGACCUCUUUUUCCUGUGUUCAUGAAUCUCUG
rnacentral:lncRNA from 1 species